GGAAUAACCUGGGCGAAAAGGGAGCACAGGGGGGCUAGGUAAGUCUAAAGUGAAAUUCCAGGGCUCAACCCYUGGACGUGCUUUGGAUAACGCUUAGCUUGAAGUACGUGAGAGGAGAUUGGAAUUCCCAGGUGUAGCGGGUGAAAUGCGUAGAGAUCUGGGAGGAACACCGGGGGCGAAAGCGGAUCGCUGGCACGGUUACUGACGCUGAGGCUCGAAAGCAUGGGGAGCAAACGGGAUUAGAUACCCCCGGUAGUCCAUGCCGUAAACGUUGUGCGCUAGGUGUAGGAGGUAUCGACCCCUUUUGUGCCGCAGCUAACGCAUUAAGCGCACCGCCUGGGGAGUACGGUCGCAAGACUGAAACUCAAAGGAAUUGACGGGGGCCCGCACAAGCGGUGGAGCAUGUGGUUUAAUUCGAGGCAACGCGAAGAACCUUACCCAGGCUUGACAUCCCAAGACCGCCUAUGAAAGUAGGUUUUCCCUUCGGGGACUUGGAGACAGGUGUUGCAUGGCUGUCGUCAGCUCGUGUCGUGAGAUGUUGGGUUAAGUCCCGCAACGAGCGCAACCCUUGUCCUUAGUUACCAGCGGUUCGGCCGGGCACUCUGAGGAGACUGCCGAUGAUAAGUCGGAGGAAGGUGGGGACGACGUCAAGUCAUCACGGCCCUUACGCCUGGGGCUACACACGUGCUACAAUGGCCGGUACAGAGGGACGCAAGAUCGCGAGAUGGAGCCAAUCCCAAAAAGCCGGCCUCAGUUCGGAUUGCAGUCUGCAACUCGACUGCAUGAGGUCGGAAUCGCUAGUAAUCGUAGGUCAGCUACACUACGGUGAAUACGUUCCCGGGCCUUGUGCACACCGCCCGUCACAUGACCCGAGUUGGGUGCACCCAAGAGCCACUGGCUCAACCAGCAAUGGSGAGCGAUGUCUAAGGUGUGUCUGGUGAGGGGGAUGAGGUCGUAUUACGGUUCCUAAA
rnacentral:rRNA from 1 species